CCUUUAAUGAUGCAGCUCUCUGGUAACAGAACAAGUUUGGCUUCUCCUGGUGCCUCACAGCAGCUGGAAACAAAGCUGAGUCCCCUCCAGGGCAGUGAGAGUGUGUGCAAGACGGAUAACUCUUCCACUGCAAGGCAAGAUGGAAAAGACUGCAGAACAAACAUGAAGGCUUUGCUCCUUUGCAGGCACAGGAAUCGUGCUUUUCUGUCCUUUCAUGUGAUCCGCCUACCACAGAAAGUUGCUAACAAGGACUUGGAAAGUAAAAUGUGCAUUAAAUGAACGGGUUUGGCAGAAGAAACAUCUGUUUAACUGGAGUGGAUGACUUCAGCUGCAAUGUGCUGCAGAGACCCAGAGCAGUGCUCAGCAGGAUGACCUCUGCCAGAUCAAUCUUCAGCGAGAGAACAUCUCACAAAGCAACUGCCCCACCUCUACCUGUCAUUUCUUGAGGAAGACCUGCAGAAAAUCAUAGAAUCAUAGAAUCACAGAAUGGCCUGGGUUGAAAAGGACCACAGUGAUCAUCCAGUUUCAACCCCCCUGCUAUGUGCAGGGUUGCCAACCACCAGACCAGGCUGCCCAGAGCCACAUCCAGCCUGGCCUUGAAUGCCUCCAGGGAUGGGGCAUCCACAACCUCCUUGGGCAACCUGUUACAGUGUGUACCACCCUCUGUGCGAAAAACUUCCUCCUAAUAUCUAACCUAAACCUCCCUGUCUCUGUUUAACAAGCCUAGGAAAUAAUAUUCAACUCUGUUGGCUACUAAAAGUCAGCAGAUCAGCAGUGCCACGUGCUUCACACUGUCCUGCAGUGCUUCAUGCACCCUGCAUCUACUGAUCCCUCUGUCCUCAGGUGCUCCCUGCUGGUGCUGCCACUGGACACAUCCCACCUCUCCUUGCCACCACCCUCUGUGGUCCACAGGUGUCGCCUGCUUAUGCUUUUACAGUGAUUUUACUAAAGGUAAACUGAACUCAAAGCGAUCACUCCUCACCAGCAUCAUGAUAUUUGCAGCCUCUGUCUCAGACUGGUAAAAGAGCUCGUCUGGCCAAGGUUGACAUACAGUUUUUGAGAGCCUAAUCAAAAAUUAGAGCUACAAUCAUUUCUUGUCUGUGUCCUGAGGCCUUCAGAGCCGUUACAAGAAUAAAUAAGUGAUCAGACAUAUCCUUUUCUCGUCGUCGCAGCAAGGCUUAGGCUCCCUUCUGGAAGGGAGCAGCUCAUAACAAAGGCAGAGCGUUCCUCUGCUAUCGCUGGUGGUUUUUGCAAAUGUGAAAGAUGUGCAGACAUAGCAGAGAAAAAAGAUAGCAAGUAAGCGCAGACAAACAUAGACGUCUUCACAGGAGGAAAAUUCCCCCACCCCAGUACAGACUUUUGGCUGAAGGAUAAUGUCUUUGUUCCCGGAUCCAAGAUGCUGUCACUCCCGUUUCAUUAUUCCUCCUCUAAAAGAAACAGACUUUUCACAUUCUUUGUAAAUGAAAGGGAUUGCAUUAAGUAAAAAACCUGUUUAUUGUUAGCUUUUCUUCUUAACAGAAACUGCCUGCAGGGUCCCUCCCUGUGGCCAGCAGUUUGACAGAAAGCAGUAAUAGUCCUGUGAGUGAAUCCAGUGUGGUAUGUGCAUCCUUUUAGCCAGGAUUAAUGAAAAUGAAGAAGAAGGAAGUUGUGCUGGGUGGAUGCUGGAGCAUUUGGGCAUUUUGGAACUGAUCAGCUAGUUGAGUUUUGAUAAGUUUGCAGAUAAGUGCUCCAGGACACCAUCAAGCCUCUCUCUCCACAUAGUUACAGCUCCAGGUCGUUAGAAGCCUGAAAGUCCUCUUUGCAAAGAUUAAAUCUGCCUCCUCCUCUACGAAUACUGGCACUGUAAGAAAGACUGCAAACUUAGGAACAUCCCAACCUGUCUUAUAAAAGCGAGACUGCACAUAAAAUGUUAUAUGCUAUUCAUUAACAACAUUUUAAAGAGCUCAGGAAGACUUCCAAACACGAGCUGAAGAAGAACAGCCCAUGCAGCUGGACCUCACGUUGUCCCAUGUUUAAAAGUCGUUAGAGGGACAAAAUGUAAAGUAACGUGAUGGGGCUGUCUUGCAAAUGAGUGGAAGUUGGAAAAUAUAACACUUCAAAUAGGACCAUCUCUUCCAGGACUGAAUGCUUGAUGAUACAGAGGUACAGUCCUUAGGUGGCGUAGACCUUUUCAUCGUCUCAGGUGAAGACUGCAGGGUUACAGAGAUGUGAAAUUAGGCCAUGGGAGACAAUAACUGUAUAAAAUAAGCCCCUGAUGAUGAGUGUCACAGUGGCAUAGCUGGUGGUUCAAACGGGUGGCACCUUGGCAGCAGGGUCCUCUGGCUUGGAGCUCCAAGAAAGCCUUGGUGUAUAACUGUUUUAUGAGACUUCUCGUGUCUGUCGCCAUGAACUUAUCAGAAACACUGGUCUUAUCACCGUGAGAUAAUACUAUUUAUUAAGGCUUAUAGUGUAACAACUGACACUCCUCACACUGUGUAUAAACUCUCCUUCGAAGUCUAAGAUUUAUAAAAAGAGAGUGAGGAAACACAGAUACUGGGGGGAUGGAAAGCUGUCAGCGAGAGCCCUUUGGCUGAGCCUGUCCUGUCGCCAGGAGGGUCUGUGCUCUCAGAACACAAGCACCAGAGAAGAGCAGCUCCAAAACCCAAUGGCUGCAUUGCUGCAGGCCACCGGCAUUGGUCUCUUUAAGCAAACAGCGAGGGCAGAGGGGGUGAAAGAUGGAGCCUGCCCAUCACCUGCGCCAUGUGGCUGAGAUGGAGCCAUGGGGAACCCGAGAAGAAACAAAGGCAUGGGAUCAUUUUAAAAGCUCCCUUUCACUGUCUGAGAGUUUACAAGCUCAGCAAACAAUCAUUUCUCUGUGGGUUUUGCUGGAGUUAAGUGGAAGGCUGUAAGGAGUCCUGCCACCUCUCACAGAGCCACAGCUUCAGGGGCUUCUGUGCUUCAGCCCUGCAGUCUCAAGCCCGUGUUGGAACAGGACCAGAAUGAAGCCCUGACAUAUGUUGCAGCCAAAGAUUUCCCAGGGUUCCCAAGACGGUUGCGGGAAGCCAAGCGUUCUUAAAUUCUUCGGAAAAUCCCAAAUGCACCCAUGAUGACAAAGGGCAGCUUCUGGUCUCACCCAAAUAGCAACCAGCUACAAGUCAGUCUAUUUGUCCUUCCAGUGACAUCUUAACAGCAGAGAUUAUGCAGAAGGCACUUUGCCAAUCUGUGCUGGCUCUUUCUGCAGCUGGUUGAUAGAGAAAGGAGUGGCUUCAACCAUCCGGCCCAAGGUUCUUUCAGCAUAACCUGCAUUCACUCAGCGAUUUGCUAACUGGAUAAAAAGUCUUGGUAACAUUCAAGACAGCAUGGCUUCACAGUGACAGCUAGCAGACAGCAAGGGAAGUGAGACCUCCUACAUCCACCAGAAAGAAAAAAGGGAAAUGCCUUGGUCGCAGUCUCUCCUACUCUGCCUACUCUGAAGCCAAGCCAGAGGCACUGACCUCAGGAAUGGGUUUCUUAAAGACUUCAGGAAACUCCAGACACCUGGUUAACUUCCAUAUUUUAGUCUUCUUCAUUGUCAUUACAUCUACCCGAAAACAGACUCCUUCUGUGCUUUGCCACGAUUCUGAAUCUAAAUCAUCUCUGGACAUCACCUCGUCUUGCCCUCGGCCACCAAAACCAGUGGCGUUUACUGGCACUGGUGCAGGAGUAUCCCUCGAUGACAGAAGAUCAGAGCUUUUGUCUGCAAUCCAUGCAUGUCUAAGGGUGCUAAGGAAAUAAUAGGAAAUGACAAUGAGCUUAACAAAUGACACAUCAAGGAAUAAAUACUCCCAUCAUUAGAUUAUGCUUAGCAUAUACUGGAUACAAUUAAUACAAUUACUCUGACUAAAUGAUAGUAAAAGCCUAUGAGCUACCAGUGUUGCAGCUUUACACAUAUUAAUGACAACAUCACUCUGAAGAUUUAUUCAUUAUACUGAAUUUACUGGUGGGGAAGCACAGGUUAAAUAAGUUUUCUAAGGCCACACAGCAAGUGCUUGGAUUUAUAACUUCCAAGUCUGCCUUCUGCUCCACCCAACAGGCCAUGCUGACUCACUGUGGAAUGCAUAUUUCCACCAAACUUUUAAGGGAAAGAGGAACAAAAGGUACAGAUAAAGAACUAAUUCCAAUAAAUAAAUGUUUUCUGCCACUCAAAAAACAUGACCCAUCUUCUGUUUUACUCGUCACACUCAUCAGCAUGUUGGCCAGAAACGGGAGCACCAGAAUAACACGCGGGAGAUUGCUCUGACAGCAUUUUCAGCAAAACUGCAAGCCAGACACAACACAGCCUUAUGGCAUGAGAUCUCCAUCACAAAGAAAAUCAUUAGAAAUUCAGAGAAUCCAGAACUGUUCCCUUUUAUGCAGAUCUUGGAAUCCCCAAGAC
ensembl:lncRNA